rnacentral:piRNA from 1 species
AUGACAAGUGGGUCUUGCAGUGCCUGAGG